rnacentral:rRNA from 1 species
UACGAAGGGGGCUAGCGUUGCUCGGAAUCACUGGGCGUAAAGCGCACGUAGGCGGCUUUUUAAGUCAGGGGUGAAAUCCUGGAGCUCAACUCCAGAACUGCCUUUGAUACUGAGAAGCUUGAGUCCGAGAGGUGAGUGGAACUGCGAGUGUAGAGGUGAAAUUCGUAGAUAUUCGCAAGAACACCAGUGGCGAAGGCGGCUCACUGGCCCGGUACUGACGCUGAGGUGCGAAAGCGUGGGGAGCAAACAGG